rnacentral:rRNA from 1 species
AUUGAACGCUGGCGGCAUGCCUUACACAUGCAAGUCGAACGGCAGCACGGGGCAACCUGGUGGCGAGUGGCGAACGGGUGAGUAAUGUAUCGGAACGUACCUUUCAGUGGGGGAUAACGUAGCGAAAGUUACGCUAAUACCGCAUAUUCUGUGAGCAGGAAAGCAGGGGAUCUUAGGACCUUGCGCUGAUUGAGCGGCCGAUAUCAGAUUAGCUAGUUGGUGAGGUAAAGGCUCACCAAGGCGACGAUCUGUAGCGGGUCUGAGAGGAUGUUCCGCCACACUGGAACUGAGACACGGUCCAGACUCCUACGGGAGGCAGCAGUGGGGAAUUUUGGACAAUGGGCGCAAGCCUGAUCCAGCCAUGCCGCGUGAGUGAAGAAGGCCUUCGGGUUGUAAAGCUCUUUCAGCCGGGAAGAAAACGCAUGGGUUAAUACCCUGUGUGGAUGACGGUACCGGAAUAAGAAGCACCGGCUAACUACGUGCCAGCCGCCGCGGUAACAC